ensembl:snRNA U6 U6 spliceosomal RNA
GCUUGCUUCGGCGGAACAAAUACUGACAUUGGAAUUAUACAUGAAAGAGUAGCAUGAGUCCUGCACAGGGAUGACACAAAUUUGUGAAGCAUUCCAUAUUUUU